rnacentral:lncRNA from 1 species
GCACGUCCUCACCAACAUCCUCCACCUCCACGGCGUCACGCCGGACCUCUCCAGGCUAGCGCUGGCCGGCCACAGCCGCGGCGGCGACACCGCCUUCGCCGUGGCGCUCGGUCUCGGAUCCUCCUCCUCCUCCUCAGACACAACGCCGCUCAAGUUCUCCGCCCUGAUCGGCGUGGACCCCGUGGCGGGGCUAUCCAAGGAGUUGCAGCUGGAGCCGAAGGUGCUGACGUUCGAGCCCCGGUCCCUGGACCCGGGCAUGCCGGCGCUGGUCGUCGGCACGGGGCUCGGACCCAAGGGCUUGCUGCCGUGCGCCCCCGCCGGCGUCAGCCACGGCGAGUUCUACGACGAGUGCGCGCCGCCGCGGUACCACGUCGUGGUGAGGGACUACGGGCACCUGGACAUGCUGGACGACGACGGCGUGCCCUACGUCAUCAGCAACUGCAUGUGCAAGAGGAACACGAACACCACCAAGGACCUCGCCAGGAGGGCCAUCGGGGGCGCCAUGGUGGCGUUCCUCAGGGCAAAGCUGGAGGACGACGACGAGGAUCUCAGGGCCGUGCUUCAGAACAGCCCUGGGCUCUCGCCGGCGGUGCUCGACCCAGUUGAAUAUGACGAUGACGAAGCCAUGGAUGGGCCAGGUUGCGCUGGCAACAAUGGAGUGGCAGGUGCGUCUGGCUAGCCGGUGUCCACGUUUCCACUUCUUGAGUGAUAAGCACUUAGAUGUGUGUAUGCUGUGUGGUGUAUACUGUACAUGUGCACCUGCGAGUUCUAUGCACUGUUCACCGUUUAAACACCAUGUAAAUACUACAUGAUGGUGGUGUGCUGUUUUUAUUGAAUAAUCUAUUUAGCCUGUUUAGUUUAUUAUUUACCUCGAAUAAUGGCUAAAGUAAGGGUUACAGUUUAGCGUUUAGAAAAACAAUUGGUGCUAUGUAACAUUAAUUAUCAUGCAUGUCAUAUGAUCAUGUACACACGUGUUUAAAUUUCUCGUGCUACAAUUUUUGGCGCAACUUUUUCUCAGUGGGUGGCAGAGAAUACCCCAGGCCCUCAGCACUAGCUACAUUAUUGUCACUCCCUUCGGUAAGGUCCAAAGCUUUACACACCAUAUCGGCAUAUCGCAUUUUUCGUUUGUCCUCAUGUUCCACUUGCCACAACUGUCCAUCGGUGUCCGAUGAAUAGCUAGGAUAUGCCUGUGGAGUUGUCAUAAGUCAAAAUUUUUAAACGUUGAUCAAAUUUCUAAAAAAAAAUGCUAGAAUUUAUAGUAUCAAAUUAGUAUCAUUAGAUUCAUCAUAAAAUAUAUUUUUAUACGAUGCGGAUUUUAUGUCAUAAAUGUUGUUACUCUUUUCGAUAAAGUUAGUCAAACUUAAAAAGGUUUGACUGACACAAAUUCUAAGAAUUGAUUUUUUCAUGAACGAAGGGAGUAUAACUUAAUAUGCUAGAGUUUGACUAGAUUGAACAGUAUUAAUAUUUUGAGAAUUUUUACAGUGGUUGGAAAAAAGAUAGGACCUCCAACGGGCGAGAUCAAAGUACCUGAAGGUACCAGAUAGGUGGGGAUAGUACCAAAUUAGGUGUGGCCAAUACCAGUCAUUUGUUGUAUUGUCAUUCAAGGGCAAAAAUGGGAUUAGGCAAAUAUCUUGCAGUUAGAUCCACAAACAUGUAUUCUUUUUUUUUUAAAAAAAAAUCUACAGAUAUGUUGGAUCCAUAUGAAAUAGAUGUGGAUACUUGUGUAACUUUUUUAUGUGACUGAUAUGAUGGUGUUAACGUGCAUAGUUAGUGUAACAUUUUUUUAAUGUGACCUUGGAUACUUUUUUUUAAUCCCACGUUCCCAAUAGAAUCUAAACAAAUACACAUGUGUUUUGUACCCUAGCUAGCUAGCACCAUCCAGCACUGGUGCGGUCACCCGCCCGUUACCGUUAGCCUACAUCAGCAAGGCAUUGGGUCCGCGCAAUCAAGGUCUCUCAACUUUAUGAGAAGGAAUACCUGGCUAUGGUCAUGGCGGUUGAUCAGUCAUCAGUGGCGUCAUUAUCUCCUGCAAAAUGAGUUGUUCAUCCACACCGACCAAAAGAGCCUGAUCCAUCUCAACGAACAGCAUCUGCAUACUCCAUGGCAACGACAACGAGUAUUCACCAAAGCUUUUGCGCCUCCGUUUAUCGCAUUGUCUAUCGUCGAGGUGUUGAGAGCAGUGUGGCAGAUGCAAUGCCUUGUCACGAUGCCGUCACUCAGAUGCAUGGCUUUCUCAGUUGAUUAUUCCAUUCUACUCCCUUGAUUAGGAACCAUUAGUUCAUUAUGUGCUUUGUUCCUCGUGCAAAAAAAAAAAAGAUUUUUCCAUGAGCUCCAAAUAGAUUAUAUUUUCCUCUAGUUUUCCUAUGAAAUUGAAGGGAAAAUAAAGUUUUCUUUAGAUUUCCUAUGAGCACUUCCUACAAUCCAAAGACUGCCAAAGGAAUUCAUCCCUAUAGAAUCUCAAUCCUAUGUUUUUCCAUUGUUUCGUCUCAAAGGGCCCCUCAGCCAUCACAGCCCCAGGUUGUACGUGUCAAUGAGAGAGCCUAGUAGAAUAAUUGUCACGUGACUCGCUCGCGUUUCAUCCUCACGCAUGUUGCUUUCUCCCAAAUUUGUUCGAUUUCAAUUCGACGAGAUAUAUAGGGCCUGUUUGGUACAGCUCACAACAGCUUCAUGAGCUGUUGUGAGCUGUUUUUUUUGCCAAAUACUUAUUUCUAAAACAGCUUCAUGGAUGAAGCUGUUUUUCUCCUCCUCUCACAAAGACAUAAGUUGGAUGAAGCUAGAAAAAAAAAUAGCUUAUUGCAGCUUCUCCCUCAUUUCUCUCUCUCAACUAUGCAUGAAGUAGUUGGUGAAGUUAUUUUGCCAAACACUUUUUCCAAAACAGCUCAGCUUCAUCUAGAAAGUCACUCAUAAAGCUAUUUUCUAAAAAAACAGCUUUACUAGUGAAGUUGAGCUGUGCCAAACAAGCCCGUAGAUGAUCUAUCAGGUUGCCAUCAUGACCUUGUUUUUCAACAUGAAUGAACAGUACAAACUGAAACGAUCAUAACUGAAACGGUCACUGCAUCCGGAUACAUGGCAACAGCAACUGCUGGGUAAUGAGAACAAAAGGGGAAGCCGAUCUGACUGACCGACUGCUAACAGUCCAGCUCAGGAACAUGGAAACACUCACAGUGGCUAUAUAUUACAGUAUAUAAAGAUGCAAAUCAUGGUCUCACCUAUCUAGCUUAAUUCCCAGUAGGCGAUGCACUGCUGCUUUUGAUUACUGUACCAUCUGGCUUCAAGUUACUUGUAUCUUGUUCAGCCUGAUGAACAUUAUCCUUGUCUGUGUCUGAUUUGGGGAACAGAGACAACGAUUCCAAGGCAUUCCUUAUCUGCAUUUGAGGAAAUUGAUGCAUCUGUCAGCUGUAGCAUCAUACUCUCUCCAUACCCAUAAAGAAAGUCGUUUAGGACAACAAUACGGUCUCGAAAGCUUAACUUUAACUCCUUAUUUUUAUAAAAAUAUCUAUCAAAAAGUAGGACAUGUAUACUUUUAUGAAAGUAUUUUUUAAGACAAAUCUAUUCAUAUGCUUUUCACAUUUCCAAAUUCAACAACUUAAAAGUUAUUCAUAAUUUAUAUUCCCAAAUGUUUGACCAAAACCAUAUUCAAAACAACUUUUUUUAUGGACAUGGAGGGAGUACUAAAUUACUAAUAUAGGUAAAGUGACUAAUCGAAGCAUCAGGAUGUAAAAGCUAGUGUACAAACAUCUUAUUCUUGAUCAAAUUGGGAAGAUGGCCUCUAACAAUCGCAGAAACUGAAAGUACACUAGUAGUUUCUAUCAGCAUAUUCUCUCAAAAACCGAAGCUACAUGUUGACUGUUGAGGGUUUGUUUGGAACACGGGAUUUUUUUUUUCUCUUGUUGUUCCUGAGUUUCUCCUGCAAAAUUGAACUGUUUUUUUUUAAAAAAAAAAAAACUUUCUGUGCAAAUCCUGUGAAAUUACUGCGUUCCAGACAGGGCAAAAGUACAAUGCCCCAGCUGUAACCUGGAACUGGAUGUUACCAUGUUUAGCCAAAGCAAAUUACUGGUUUGCUGUAUGUAUCACAAAUCAUCAGGCUAUCAUAAACAGCAGUCGUAGGAAAGGAGGAGUACGGUGCGUACAGGGUUGGGGUAGCCGGGGCCGUAGUCGGCGGUGAGGAGCAAGUAGGCGGCGGUGGCUGCGCCGACCAUCGCCGUCCGGCGAACUAUCCUGUCGGACCUCGGGACCACCGGCGGCAUCGCGGCAAUGCCUUUGCUCGCUGGAGGGCGGUGGCUUCGGCUGGUGUCGUGUGUGGAAAGCGGCGGAAGUGAGGAGAAGAGGGCACGAGACGAGACUAGAAGGUACGUACGCACGUCUUGCGCUGGGCUGGAUUUGGGCCGUUUUUAAACACGAGAUUCUGACUGCUUUGAUCACUCACUGAGGCCCAAAUAGUUCCAACUGCUUUGAUCACUAUUUUUCUCAAAAAAAAAAAGUUGCUUUGAUCACUGAGUGCUUUUUAAAUUAAAUACUGUAUUAUACUGUUCUGAAGUCGAAAUUGUAUGGUUGGUGUUGUUGGUCAUCACGUUAGUCUCACACACUAAGGCCAGUCUCAAUGCAUGUUUAUGAGAGUGUCAUGCAUAUUAAAUAGGGUGUCACAUAAGCAAGAUUGUUGACUUGGCAGGGUCAUUAAAUGAAGGAGUUUCACCAGAUGAGAGAGGAGUUUCAUCCCCAUGAAACUUCGGUGGCUCGGUUACCUAGUUUAUAGUCUUGGUAAGUGUGUCAUGAAACUAUGCAUUGAGACUGGCCUAAUAGCAGUACUUUGAUUUAUUUUUUUAAGUAGCAGUACUUUUACUGUCAAGCAUUUGACAAUGUAUAUAUUAUUAUUUUUACUAGUAGCAGUAGUUUGUUUUUUUUUCAGUUCAUAGCUAGGACUAGGAGCAUGCUUAUGCCUGUGUUGUUCCAAUGUGGUUAGUAGCUAAGCCUAGGUUACCGAUUGUCAAAACUCUUUAACUUGGCUUGGUAUACAAUGCAACAAUCCGUAAUUUGCUUUUGGCUAAACAUGCAUGAUAACUUCAAGUUCCAGCUGGGGAUUGUACUGUUGCCCGGCGCCACAACUCUUGAAUCGGUUACGCACGGUCUUUUGUCUGUACAAGAAUAUAAUCAACCGAACAAAGACUCUGAAUUCCAACCUAAACUUGAGUGCCGCGUGAAUGAUUGCUAACCGUGCAGUGAUCCAGAAUGAGGUCUUCUGUUGUUCUAUGUUUUUUUCUUGGCUGUUCUACUCUAAUGGUUUUCUGAGAGAAGACGAUGACGAUAAAAACUGUUCCAAUUUUAUCAAGAAUAAGAUGUUUGUACACUAGCUGUAAAAUCCUACUUCGAUUAGUCACUUUACCUACUAGUAUGAUGCUACAGCAGCUGAUAGUGAUAGAUGCCUCAAUUUCCUCAAAUGCAGAUAAGGAAUGCCAUGAAAUCGUUGCCUUCCAGACGAAAUAGCACAACUUCAGGGUUGUUUCUGUAAUGUCCGCGAAAUAUCUCCAAGGCCCCCUGUACUCUCCUCUGCCUUCCAGACGAACUCGCCUCGCUUCUCGUCUCCCGUCCCCUCCGCUUUCCACCCGCGGCCGCCGCCGCCGCCGCUCACCUUGCCGUGCCCGGGCCCUUGCCCAGCAUGUGGGGUAGCACCGACGGUGGAACGCCGGAGGUCACCCUCGAGACCUCCAUGGGCGCCGUCACUGUUGAGGU